CCUACGGGUGGCAGCAGUGAGGAAUAUUGGUCAAUGGGCGGAAGCCUGAACCAGCCAAGUAGCGUGCAGGAUGACGGCCCUACGGGUUGUAAACUGCUUUUAUACGGGAAUAACGCGCCUUACGUUUAGGGCUUUGCAUGUACCGUAUGAAUAAGGACCGGCUAAUUCCUGCCCAGCAGCCGCGGUAAUACGGAAGGUCCGGGCGUUAUCCGGGUUUCUUGGGUUUAAAGGGAGCGUAGGCCGCAUGUCAAGCGUGCUGUGAAAUGUCCGGGCUCAACCCGGGCCUUGCAGCGCGAACUGGCGUGCUUGAGUCCGCGGAAGGCAGGCGGAAGUCGUCGUGUAGCGGUGAAAUGCUUAGAUAUGACGAAGAACCCCGAUUGCGAAGGCAGCUUGCUGCAGCGGAACUGACGCUGAUGCUCGAAAGCGCGGGUAUCGAACAGGAUUAGAUACCCUUGUAGUC
rnacentral:rRNA from 1 species